rnacentral:lncRNA from 1 species
UUUUUCCUUUUCUCCGUGGCCUUUAGGCGUUGUAGUAUUGCCCUUGGGCCUUCGGCUCGUAUGGGUAGUCUUACAGGUAUGGGGUCACGCACCCCCAACCAUGUAACACACACACACAGACAGCAAUGCCUUAUAAAGGCUUGGAAAGCUUAUCCUGAUGGACGAGCUGGCAGUACUCUAGAACCUGCCAGCCGUUGCUCACAGAAGUCUGAUGGGCAGUCAUAUACAGGCCACAGCUGUUACUCACAAUAACCUGACAAGUUACCUAAACAGUCCACGGUCCAGGCCAACUGCUCAACACUCAGCAGACACAAGCACAGCUUGCCAGCCUUCAGCCUGAUGGCUAUGCGGUCUGGAGCUGCUGCACAAACAUAUACAGGGAAAACAGUGUCGUACAGCACCAUACGCACUGCCUACGGUGCCCCUUCGGGCAUUGACCUGCCCAUUCGGGCGCCUGCUCACACACCCUCAGCACCCCCUCCUCUGGCGAUCUAAGUGACGCCCAGCGCUGUGCGGCAGCGCACGAACUUGACCUCGCCCAGUGCCUUGGUUAGGAUGUCAGCCACCAUGUCGUCGGUGGUGCAAUAGCUGAGCUUCACCUCACCACGCACGACCCUCUCGCGCACGAUGUGAUGGUGCACGUCGAUGUGCUUGGAGCGCACCGACGUGAUGGGGUUGUUGCCGAGGCUGAGCGCGCCUUGUGAAUCCAGCUGGACGUUGACAGCACCCGGGGAAAGGUCCAGGUCGCUCGCCAGCUUGCGCAGCCACAACGCCUCAUGCACGGCUGCUGCUGCGGCCUAGGCCGGUUACCCAUCUCGUUAACUGGACCCAUUAGGUCGGAACCGGGCCGGAACCGGCCUGGAGUAUGCCAUUGGGCCUGGUACUCGGCUUCCACGGACGAGGCAGCCACGGUGCGCUGCAACUGACUGCUCCAGCUGACCGCCGCGCCACCGAGCAAGAAAGCGUAGCCCGUGGUGGACCGGUGGGUGGCUGGGUCGCCGGCCCAGUCUGCAUCGCUGUACCCACCAAAAUUGCUGGCGUCACCGCGGUAACGUAGACCAAGCGCCUGAGUGCCAGAGAUGUAACGCAGCACACCCAGAGCGAGCCCCAUGUGGGCUUUGGUGGGGGCGGACAUGUGCCGUGCGAGCAUGCUCAGAGCAUGUGCAAUGUCUGGGCGUGUGCUGGUAGCGAGGUAGUUUAGUUCGCCCACCAGUGUGCGGUAGCCACUGCCGUCCGCCAGUAUCGGCUGGGUGUCACUGGCUGGCAGAACCCGCGUACCCUGGGGUAGCGGGGUGGCACGCGGCUUGGCAUUCUCCAGGCUGUGGCGCUGAAGCAGCUGCUCCAUGUAACGCUUCUGUGUGAGCAUGAUGCUGCGGUUGCGGCGGUCCUGGACGAUCUCCAUGCCGAGGUAGUAGCGCGCCUCUCCAAGGUCUCGUACUGCGAAGCAACCAGCUAUGGCCGCCUUGGCGGCCGCGACCAAUUGCAGGUUGUCUGCCGCCACCAGCAUGUCGUCAACAUGCAUGGACCCAUGCUUGACGAAUAGUGCGGGGUCGGACAUAGACGGCUCAUAGCCUAGCUUGCCCAACUCCGCCGCCAGUUUCUCGUACCAGCAACAUGGGGCUUGCUUGAGGCCGUAGACGGACUUUGACAGCCAGCACGCCUGUGUCGGGUCGCCGUUGCUGUAACCUGGUGGCUGUCGCAUCCACAGCUCCUCUGCCAGGUCGCCGUUCAAGAAAGCCGUUUUGACGUCCAUCUGAUGGACCGUCAUACCCCUGGCCGCUGCCACAGCUAGAAGUGCCCGCAGGGAGGCUGCACACGUGGUGGGCGCAAACAGCUCUCCAUAGUCUAUGCCCGCUCCCUGUUCAAAGCCCUUCACCACCAAGCGCGACUUAUAGUGUACCUCACUGCCAGGCUCCUGUUUGAUCUUGUAAACCCAGCGGCAGUCCAGGAUGCGUGCACCGGGCGGCGGCGUGCCCAACUCCCAUGUCUUGUUGGAAAGCUGCGACAGGAUCUCGUCAUCCAUCGAAGUCUUCCACUUGUCAGCUAGCGGACUCACCACCGCUUCUUCAUAACUGCGCGGCUCCUGCACCGUGCUGUUGCCUCCGCCGUCCGCACUGCCGUCGGGCACGUUAAACUCAGCACAAUCGGUGCUACCCGACGCUUUGUUAAGCAGUGGUGGACUACCCAAAUCUCCGCCGCCGCUGCUGCUGUUGUUGGCUGGGCAGACCGGGGCCAGCGGCGGGUGUAGUGGUUGCCAGACUGCGUGUGUUGGGGCGGAAGGGGGGUGCUGGGUUCACUGGGGGCGGGACAUAAACUGGAGGCAGCGGUGUGGCGGGCUGUGUAGAGCCGCCGACAGGGUCGCUGCCGCCAGGAUGGGCAGGGCUGGUGCCGAAGGGGGUGCCCGCCCGUUGAGACGCCAGGCCGCAGUGGUCAUCGUCGAAGGUGACGUCGCUGCUAACAGUCACCUUACAGUCGACGAGGACGCGGUGGGCGGCCGUGCCGCGGUCCGGUCCAAGGUAGGUUCCCGCCUCCAUGCGGGGACCAAGCUUAUCCUGCAGUUUACCGUUCGGUUGGCCUCCGCCGGUGUCACUGCUGGCGGUGCUGCCACCGCGAGUGCUGGGGGCGCCGGCAGCACUUCCUCCAGUGCUGCUACCUCCGCCGGCUCUGCCUUCCGUGGCGCCGAGCGCGUUGACGGUGCGUUUGGUCGGCGCCAGCAGGUCCACGUCCAUGACGUAAUGCCCGCGCUCGCUCCACGUGGCGAUAGACGAACUGCUGUGCGGGAGGCCUACGUGCGAGAACCGGCUGCCCGCCUUGUCCGUGCCGAACGUGACUGAGCAGCCGCGCGUCACGAGAAGGUCGACAGACAUGAGCGUUAGUCCCGAGCUGGGGACAUGGAGCACGUUGCGUAGCCAGACGGAUUCUCCAUCGCGCGUCCGUAGGAGCAGCUGCCCUGUUCCCAUGACGUCGGCUAGCUGGUUGUUCCCCAACUUGAUUUGCUUGGGUGCACCGGCAGGAAUGUAAUCAUGCAACAGCGAGCGGUCACCUGUAAGGUGGUAAGGCGAACCAGAGUCUAGGACAACACGUGAACUGCUACCACUGCCAUCAACGACCAGCACCGUGGCACGGUUCUGGCGUGAGCUCCUUCCACCGCCGCCGCCGCCACUGCUUCUGCCAGCAGUGUCGCUGCCGCUGCGGCGGCCGUUGCCGCAUCUAACACGGCUGCGUUCACGCGUCCUGUCGCCCCCGCUGUUAUUGCCGCUGCUGGUGCCUCCGCCGCCACCAUCACGAUGGCGGUUGCUGCUGCCACUGCUGCCGGCGCCGGUACUACGUGGCUGCUCAAACGCAUUGCUGCGGUAGAGACCUACGGACUCGUCCGCCAGCUUAAAGGGGCACUCGCGGACAUAGUGCCCAGGCUGUCCACAGUAGCGGCAGAUGUCAUUGGCCCCCGCGGCGGCCGAGGCGCCGGCAGCACCAACCAGGCCGGACUUGACUGCUUGGGCCUUAAGGUUGUUCUCCUUCUCCUGCAGCAUGAACACGAGCUGCGGGGUCGUCAAGUUGGGCAAAUACAUCGCGAACUCGACAGUGAUGGCGUACUGAGGCGGCAGGCCGUGGAGAAUGGCGUGACGCAUAGCACCCUCGUCCCACUGGCCGCCUGCCGAGAUAAUGGUCGUCUCUUCGUCGCCCAUGCUCAGCUGCUUCUGCGGCUCCAGCAGGCUCAGCCGGGCCUGGGAGGCAGAACGGAACUGUUGCUGUAAGAGCUGCAUGGCGGAGACAUCGUCUGACAGUUUCUGAGCAACUGCUCUACGGGCAGUUCGCAGGACAGACGCAGGUAGCCAAGCACCUGGACAUCUUCCUCCAGAGCGUCUUGCGCAUUGCGGCCCGGAGGCGACGGGUUGGUCAUAUAGCUCCUCAACUUAGAUAGCAAGGAAAUCACUGAAGUCUCCUAGCCACUGCGAGUAGCCACUGCGAGUAGUUAGACCCGUCCGAUAGGAGGACGGUCUUACACCCCUUUCCCAUGUUGGUUGCCUAGCGAGCCUCACUGCUCAAGCUAAAAAGCAAAUACAGAUAUUAACCGCCGGGAACCGUUACCCGGGGCUCAUAACCUGUUGGUGAGACGCUAUCUCACUGGGACCUAGCAGACACGACUAAGGAGACAUUAGCCGUUAGACGUAUUCGGGAGAUCCGCGACCUUCCACCGAUAGCCCCUUUACCUAGGCGUAAACGUGUGAAUCUGAGGUACUAUCACCAAUAGACAGCAAUGCCUUAUAAAGGCUUGGAAAGCUUAUCCUGAUGGACGAGCUGGCAGUACUCUAGAACCUGCCAGCCGUUGCUCACAGAAGUCUGAUGGGCAGUCUUAAACAGGCCACAGCUGUUACUCACGAUAACCUGACAAGUUACCUACACAGGCCGCGGGGCGACACGACAUCCCUUCGCAUCAACAGUACUGGCUCCCAUUUCAUGGCCUCCAACAUGCUCUGUUAAUAAUCGAAUCCCUCUUCCGUACGAAUAUCAUUAUAGGCUGGGCAUUCCAAUAACACGUGUUUUUCAUUGUCGAUUUGGCUAUUUGUACCACAACAGCGGCAAAUCCGCUGCGCCCUGGGGACGUGGAACUUGCCCCUUCGUACUCUGUUUGCCGCCAGAGCCCAGCAACAUAAACGAAACUGCAUUAGCUUACGAUGUGCUAAACGAGGAAUGAAAACCUUAGCAUGUGUUGGCCACAUUAACGGCUGCGGCUCCCGAAAAGGGCAGCCCCAUCCAUUGCUUAUACCUCGCCAUCUGUACUCCCGGUUGCUUCCCAUCUGAUGGGUACUCCUCUGGCAAGACAGUCAGACGCGCAUGGUCCCAGCCGCUCGUCAAACGCUCCCUUUGUGCCGUUAUCACCGCUCCUUCGGGGAAAGGUCUACUCAACAACCAGUCAACACGCUCCAGUACCCCCAUGAUUUCUUGCGGUAUUCCACUCAAAUAUUGCACUGCAAGAAGGAAAACAGCCGUAACAUUGAGGUCCCCCAACCGACCCAUUAGCCUGCUGCUGCAUGGUAGCUAGGGCUUCCAGGGAGUGUGAGUUUGUGUUUGGAGUCAUCUGGAGCGGUUUACUUGGUUGCAGAGGUGCAAGCGUCUAACAGCGUCUAACAGGCGCUUUGGCUGGUAAGUAGCAGUAAUUCAGACGGAUAGCCAGCUACACUUGCAGCACAGUAAAACUGGAGUUUGAUUACAGACCAUGAUGCCUGCAUGCUUUGCCCUAUAGGGAAAUGGCAUUCCUAUAGGAGAAGGCACAUUAUCACAAUAACAUAGAAAAGCAAGCGAACGAGUGGGGAGCUGCAGUCAAGUAGCCGGCUGGUGGGCAGAGGCAGCGCGGUGUGCUACAGGACACCGCAGAUAUCUGUUGGGCUACCGCACCCUUCAGCAUUAAAGCUUUCAACGGGUCUGGGACUAUUGUGCCGACUAAGUAUACGAGACGUGUCCACCGAGCCCUUCGGCUUUUGGCGUACAGGGGCCAUUUACGCGAAUGUUUUAGAGGAUUUUUAAUUUUAUUUAAUAUCAUUUAUCUAAUUUAUUUUCGCAUGGGCGAUUUGCUGCGCCAGGUGCCCGGAUUUCCAAACUUAUUGUUAAUGUUCGGCCAAGUGGAAACACCAUGUAACGUUUGUAAUU